UAACAGAUAAAGUACAGACAUGGUUCCAUUCAUGUUCUGUAUAUGUUUAGCUAUCUCUCCUUACAGAGAACCAAACAUGGACGCUACAGAGUCACACUUACCUGCAGUCCUUCUGCAAGGCAAAAGAAUGUCACCUCUGAGUCAGUGAUGCUGUGGGUAGUUGGAAUGCUGUUUAGCUGAACCAGAAAGGGAAUGACUACUGCUUGUAACUUCUGAGGUAACAUGCCUGCCAGUAGCAAUUUUCUCCUACUCAGAUUAGUUCUGUCUUUUUUACAGCAGGGGCAAAGCAAAAAGACCAACAACAGCACAAACACAAACAAGAGUUGGCUGCAUUUCUUACAUUUGCUUCACAUAUUUUUGACACUGUCCACAAGUGGCAGCGGAUAACUACAACAGGCAGACGUGGGUCUGUAAUGUUUCGUGUAACACCAGGGCAGUACCAAAGCAGUAGCAUUCUGGAAUAUUAAUAAGAGAGAUAUGCAGUAAAACAUGCAGUAUGCAGUAUCACAGCUUAAUAAAUACAAAUAGGUUAACAAGUAAAAUUAAAAAUAAUAUUAAAAUUGAAAAAACUGGAAUUCACAGUUAGUAGCUGGUAAUUGUAUCACAUUUUUCUUUAAUAUAGUAUUGCAACUUAUUACUGGACUGAAUUCCGUUACAGUUAUGGUGUUACUUCUGUUACAAUGUCUACAAUUAAAGGACAAAGGAAAGAAAAACAUUGUUUUGUACAACUUCUGGGGAGAUAUGUGGAAUUACUUGUAUAAUAUUGCAUGAAAUACAAGAAAAUGAUGAUGAAGUGCAAACUGGAUACAGGCCAGAAACAGCUCAGACUUGCUAUCGCAACACUGACCAGGGCUGGACUGGUAAUCUGGCGUAACGGGCAUUUUUACCGGUGGACCGAUACACUUUUGGGCGCACCGGCCGCACAAGCAGUGGCAGCAGCCCAUUCGUUCAUUUUAAAUACUUACACUGGAUUGCCCAAUUAAAUGUCUUAUUGCGACCGGCCCCUCCCCUUUGCACUUUUGCAGUGCGCUCACACAGCUUAUAGAAAAAAGGUUUAAUGUGGAAGAAGUGUCCAAAAGGUGGAAACGCUGAGAGAAAACAAUAAAAACUAAAAAUAAAUGCAGCAAAAUGUGUCAGGUUAACCGACAUGUUAGCUGUUGGUGCUGCUGCACCAUGAACAGUAGUGCAGCAACAACUAGUAACCUCACAGUCACAGGAGCCAGCAGCUGGCACCAGCUGUGGAGAAGUGAGGAAGAGACAGAGGACGAUGGAGGGACGUAAUCAGGAAGGGCGAGAUUAAAGGAUGCAGGUUUGGCUCUAAGUUGACACAAACAUCUGCAGUGGCAGAAGAGCGGAGUAACGCCCUGUGAAGGACUUGUGACCUGUGCAGGAUGUCAGCCUCUCACCCUAUCACAACUGGGAUGGGCUCCAGCACCUACAACUGUCAAUUGGAUGGAUACAAAAUGGAUGGAUGGACACAGAGAGAGUAAAUUACUGCAUUAUAACAAUGAAUCAAAGUAGCCUGAUGUUCUACUAGUUCUGAAGAUUCUCACCUGCAAUGCAUGAGCUUGUGUGUAAGCUUGAUGUUUGCUGGUUACAUACAGUGAAAUAGUUCAUUGAUAAUGUAUCAUCUAUUAAAACAAAGUUAAUGAUAUAAUAUAUUGAGCAUAAUAAUCUUUUUCUGUAGAAAACUUUUAUAUAUAUAUAUAUAGAUAUAGAGAUAGAUAGAUAGAUAUCUCUGAAUAAUUGUAUAUAAUGACGUAUUUUUAAAAAGCAAUGCUUUUAGAUAUAUGUAGUUAAAUAUAGAUUAAUGCAGCAGUCCCCAACCCCCGGGCCUCGGACCGGUACCGGUCCGUGAGAGUUGAGGCUCAGGUGUAAAAUGUAUGGUUUUCAGGGUUUUUAUCG